CGGGAGGCAGCAGCAGUGAGGAAUAUUGCACAAUGGGGGGAACCCUGAUGCAGCAACGCCGCGUGGAGGAUGACGCAUUUCGGUGUGUAAACUCCUUUUAUAUGUCAAGAAAAUGACGGUAGCAUAUGAAUAAGCACCGGCUAACUCCGUGCCAGCAGCCGCGGUAAUACGGAGGAUGCAAGCGUUACUCGGAAUCACUGGGCGUAAAGGACACGUAGGCGGGUUGGAAAGUCAGGUGUGAAAUCCUACAGCUUAACUGUAGAACUGCACUUGAAACUUCUAAUCUAGAGUAUGGGAGGGGGAGAUGGAAUUAGUGGUGUAGGGGUAAAAUCCGUAGAUAUCACUAGGAAUACCUAAAGCGAAGGCGAUCUCCUGGAACAUUACUGACGCUAAGGCGUGAAAGCGUGGGGAGCAAACAGGAUUAGAUACCCGAGUAGUC
rnacentral:rRNA from 1 species